AUUGAACGCUGGCGGAAUGCUUUACACAUGCAAGUCGAACGGCAGCACGGACUUCGGUCUGGUGGCGAGUGGCGAACGGGUGAGUAAUGUAUCGGAACGUGCCCAGUCGUGGGGGAUAACGUAGUGAAAAUUACGCUAAUACCGCAUACGAUCUAUGGAUGAAAGCGGGGGAUCGCAAGCCCUCGCGCGAUUGGAGCGGCCGAUAUCAGAUUAGGUAGUUGGUGGGGUAAAGGACCACCAAGCCAACGAACUGUAGCUGGGCUGAGAGGACGACCAGCCACACUGGAACUGAGACACGGUGCAGACUCCUACGGGAGGCAGCAGUGGGGAAUUUUGGACAAUGGGCGAAAGCCUGAUCCAGCCAUUCCGCGUGCAGGAUGAAGGCACUCGGGUUGUACACUGCUUUUGUACAGAACGAAAAGGUUUCUACUAAUACUAGGGGCUCAUGACGGUACUGUAAGAAUAAGCACCGGCUAACUACGUGCCAGCAGCCGCCGUAA
rnacentral:rRNA from 1 species